rnacentral:tRNA from 1 species
AGCUCUGUAGUAUAUUGGAACACACUGAAUUGCAAAUUCGGAGAAGCAGCAUAACCCCUGCCAGGGCUU